UGGGGAUAUUGCACAAUGGGGGGAACCCUGAUGCAGCGACGCCGCGUGGGUGAAGAAGCGCCUCGGCGCGUAAAGCCCUGUCAGCAGGGAAGAAAAUGACGGUACCUGAAGAAGAAGCCCCGGCUAACUACGUGCC
rnacentral:rRNA from 1 species